ACGAACGCAGCGGUAGUUUUAGUAAAAUAGUAGCCAUAUAUUUGUGAAAAUUUGCACUAUUCUAAUUUCAACGUUGUUCUGCGAUUCUGUAGUCUGCAGUUCAGAUUUCGCGAGGAAAAACGACCUAGCAAUUUAUCAAAAUGAUUACUCCUAUGGCUCGUUUGUCUAAUAGGUUGGGCAGAAACGUAAUGACAAAUUUUGUCAGAAACCAUUCCCACGGUGGAGUGCCUGGAGAGAACUUACCCUUUGACAUUUCUAACCGCUACAAGCUGACGGCCCUUUUCAUCGUAUUUGUGAGCUCCGGUCUCUCAGCACCAUUCCUGAUUACCCGUCACCAGCUUCUCAAAAAGUAAAUUUCAACUUCAAAUAUGAAAAAUGCAUUAGAUUAAGAUAGAAAAAAUUAUUUAAUCUCAA